rnacentral:lncRNA from 1 species
GAUCUUAUUCGAAUGACUGAUGGAACGUUUAUCACAAGCAUAAAGGUCAAGUCUUGUCACUAGUAUGGAGGACCUGCACAAGCAAUAAAUGCGCCGCAAGCUAGCAAGUCAAGCCCCAUACCUAAGAAAAGACGUUUAAACUAAAGAGAUGAGGCCACGUGCCACUUCAUCCAAGGGCUCCCAUUUCAUAUGUAUCACUAUAAAUACUUCCAUUAUGUAAUGUCAAAGGCUAAUGCAAGAAUCAAUACUAAAGACUACAUUUACUCAACUCUCUCUCAUUCACUUGCAAUACAC